rnacentral:rRNA from 1 species
UACGUAGGGGGCGAGCGUUGUCCGGAUUUAUUGGGCGUAAAGAGCUCGUAGGCGGCUUGGCAAGUCGGGUGUGAAAACUCCAGGCUCAACCUGGAGACGCCACUCGAUACUGCCAUGGCUAGAGUCCGGUAGGGGACCACGGAAUUCCUGGUGUAGCGGUGAAAUGCGCAGAUAUCAGGAGGAACACCGGUGGCGAAGGCGGUGGUCUGGGCCGGCACUGACGCUGAGGAGCGAAAGCGUGGGGAGCAAACAGG